UACGUAGGGUGCGAGCGUUGUCCGGAAUUAUUGGGCGUAAAGAGCUCGUAGGCGGUGUGUCGCGUCGGCCGUGAAAACCUGCAGCUUAACUGUGGGCUUGCGGUCGAUACGGGCAUCACUGGAGUUCGGCAGGGGAGACUGGAAUUCCUGGUGUAGCGGUGAAAUGCGCAGAUAUCAGGAGGAACACCGGUGGCGAAGGCGGUUCUCUGGGAAUAUCCUGACGCUGAGGAGCGAAAGUGUGGGGAGCGAACAGG
rnacentral:rRNA from 1 species